rnacentral:tRNA from 1 species
GCCUUCGUGGUGUAGUGGUCAGCACUCUCGAUCCGUAACCGGCAGAUCCGUGGUUCGAUUCCGGGCGAAGACG